rnacentral:rRNA from 1 species
UACGGAGGGGGCAAACGUUGUUCGGAAUCACUGGGCGUAAAGGGCGCGUAGGCGGCCCGGUAAGUCGGAUGUGAAAGGCCGCGGCUCAACCAAGGAAGUGCAUCGGAAACUGCCGGACUGGAGUACAGAAGAGGAUCGCGGAAUGCCCCGUGUAGCGGUGAAAUUCGUAGAUAUCGGGAGGAACACCAAUGGCGAAGGCGGCGAUCUGGGCUGAUACUGACGCUGAGGUGCGAAAGCGUGGGGAGCAAACAGG